rnacentral:rRNA from 1 species
GUAGGUGGCAAGCGUUGUCCGGAAUUAUUGGGCGUAAAGCGCGCGCAGGUGGUUCUUUAAGUCUGAUGUGAAAGCCCCCGGGCUCAACCGGGGAGGGUCAUUGGAAACUGGGGAACUUGAGUGCAGGAGAGGAAAGUGGAAUUCCACGUGUAGCGGUGAAAUGCGUAGAUAUGUGGAGGAACACCAGUGGCGAAGGCGACUUUCUGGCCUGUGACUGACACUGAGGCGCGAAAGCGUGGGGAGCAAACAGGAUUAGAUACCCUGGUAGUCCACGCCGUAAACGAUGAGUGCUAAGUGUUGGGGGGUUUCCGCCCCUCAGUGCUGCAGCUAACGCAUUAAGCACUCCGCCUGGGGAGUACGGUCGCAAGACUG